rnacentral:miRNA from 1 species
UCACCGGGUGUUUCUGCGACCU